rnacentral:rRNA from 1 species
CCUACGGGAGGCAGCAGUGAGGAAUAUUGGUCAAUGGCCGGAAGGCUGAACCAGCCAUGCCGCGUGAAGGUCAGUGCCCUAUGGGCGUUAAACUUCUUUUGUGCGGGAGCAAUCAUGGUCACGUGUGGCCAGACGAGAGUACCGUAAGAAUAAGCAUCGGCUAACUCCGUGCCAGAGGCCGCGGUAAUACGGGGGAUGCAAGCGUUAUCCGGAUUUAUUGGGUUUAAAGGGUGCGAAGGCUGUGAGGUAAGUCAGCGGUGAAAUGCCCCCGCUCAACGGGGUGAAGUGCCAUUGCUACUGCCUUGAUGGAAUGCGGAUGCCGUGGGAGGAAUGUGUGGUGUAGCGGUGAAAUGCAUAGAUAGCACACAGAACACCGAUUGCGAAGGCAUCUCACGAAUCCGCGAUUGACGCUGAUGCACGAAAGCGUGGGUAUCAAACAGGAUUAGAUACCCCGGUAGUC